GGAACCCGAAUCGCUGGCGACGCGGCGGCCGCAGCUCUCGCGGGAGGAAGAGCGGUGCGUACUCCUCGUGCUCUCCCGGGUAAUCCUCUAGCUUGGAUUUUAGAAUUUUAUUUACUGCUGCUUUACAUUUUCCGUUCUCCCGUUCUUCCCAUGAUUUUUUAGACUUUCCGUUCGUUAUUAAUUGUACUAUAGGUAAAUAAGGCAAUUCGAUGAUGGGACCACGACAAGGUGGACGAUUGGGAGCAAGGGUGCGCAUCGGAUCAGGUAUUGCUUCGGAUUUCAGUUGCUUAUGUUUUGGUCCCUUUUGACCUCUUUCGAGUACUACACAUUAUUCUGAAGCUUCUGAAACUCAAUGACUCUGAACUGAAAGAUGAAUUCAUUUGCCUGUCCAUUUAUCAUAUUCAGAAGUUACAUUGGGAUCCUGGUUACCAAUUCAAUGCGGGGAAAGUUGUAAGCCUUGUCACGGAUGACCGACAUAGUUUGAGUAAAGAUUCUG
rnacentral:lncRNA from 1 species